CGCACGGGUGAGUAACACGUAUCCAACCUGCCGUCUACUCUUGGACAGCCUUCUGAAAGGAAGAUUAAUCCAAGAUGGCAUCAUGAGUCCACAUGUUCACAUGAUUAAAGGUAUUCCGGUAGACGAUGGGGAUGCGUUCCAUUAGAUAGUAGGCGGGGUAACGGCCCACCUAGUCUUCGAUGGAUAGGGGUUCUGAGAGGAAGGUCCCCCACAUUGGAACUGAGACACGGUCCAA
rnacentral:rRNA from 1 species